rnacentral:tRNA from 2 species
GGCAAGGUGGCCGAGCGGUCUAAGGCGCACGGUUCAGGUAUACCUGACCACAUGAGCUUCACAGCUUCCGUGUCAUGAAAAUGGCGUGGGUUCGAAUCCCACCCUUGUCA